UGGCUCAGCGGUUAAGAGCACUGACUGCUAUUCCAGAGGUCCUGAGUUCAAAUCCCAG
rnacentral:tRNA from 1 species